rnacentral:rRNA from 1 species
AAUGAACGCUGGCGGCGCGCCUAAUACAUGCAAGUCGAGCGAGAAGACGUAGCAAUACGUUUGUAAAGCGGCGAACGGGUGAGGAAUACAUGGGUAACCUACCCUCGAGUGGGGAAUAACUAGCCGAAAGGUUAGCUAAUACCGCGUACGCUCCUUGGACUUCGGUUCAGGGAGGAAAGCGAUACCGUGGGUAUCGCGCUCUUGGUUGGGCUCAUGUCCUAUCAGCUUGUUGGUGAGGUAACGGCUCACCAAGGCUUCGACGGGUAGCUGGUCUGAGAGGACGAUCAGCCACACUGGCACUGCGACACGGGCCAGACUCCUACGGGAGGCAGCAGUAAGGAAUAUUGCGCAAUGGGCGAAAGCCUGACGCAGCGACGCCGCGUGGGGGGAUGAAGGUCUUCGGAUUGUAAACCCCUUUCGGGAGGGAAGAUGGAACGAGCAAUCGUUCGGACGGU